rnacentral:rRNA from 1 species
AGUGAACGCUGGCGGUAGGCCUAACACAUGCAAGUCGAACGGCAGCACAGUAAGAGCUUGCUCUUACGGGUGGCGAGUGGCGGACGGGUGAGGAAUACAUCGGAAUCUACUUUUUCGUGGGGGAUAACGUAGGGAAACUUACGCUAAUACCGCAUACGACCUACGGGUGAAAGCAGGGGAUCUUCGGACCUUGCGCGAUUGAAUGAGCCGAUGUCGGAUUAGCUAGUUGGCGGGGUAAAGGCCCACCAAGGCGACGAUCCGUAGCUGGUCUGAGAGGAUGAGCAGCCAAAUGGGAGCUGAGACAGGGUCCAGACCCCUAGGGGAGGCAGCGGGGGGGAAUAUUGGACAAGGGGCGCAAGCCUGACCCAGCCAUCCCGGGUGGGAGAAGAAGGCCUUCGGGUUGUAAAGCCCUUUUUUUGGAAAAAAAAAGAAGCAGGUUAAUACCCCGGUGUUCUGGCGGUACCAAAAGAAAAAGCACCGGCAAACUGCGU